rnacentral:tRNA from 1 species
AGAGCGCAACCUUGCCAAGGUUGAGGUCAUGAGUUCGAACCUCAUGUGCCGCU